UUUAAAAAUACAUUUGCGAUGAUCUCAUUUAACUGCGUAUCGUUGAUAAAGGUGCCCACUGCUUCUCGGAGCAUCACAAGUCAGGUGGAAACGUAUUAAUGAAGAAUGAACAUUGCGCAGCUUCUGAUUAUCGCAGCCGGACUAUGUGUGCUUUCCCCUGGCGUUAAAGGAUGCUUGCCAUCAGCGCACAUCAUUCGCUGUCUUCGUACGGACUUCUAUCCAGAGGCAACUUGUCCGGAUGCUGACAGCCCAAAGUGCAGUGCAGGAACCGAUGUGUGCGCCUGUAGGCCGAAUAUGUACAGGAAUCACAGAGGGAUAUGCGUCCCGCACAGCUAUUGCUAACCGAGAAAAAAGCGGGGGUAAUUGACCGUAUUACGAAAAUAAAUAGACUCAGAUGGA